rnacentral:rRNA from 1 species
GAUGAACGCUGACAGAAUGCUUAACACAUGCAAGUCUUUGGCGAAGCUGUGCUUGCACAGCCUAGCCAAGGCGGACGGGUGAGUAACGCGUAAGGAACUUGCCCUGCAGUCAGGGAUAACAGACGGAAACGACUGAUAAGACCUGGUAAAGUCAGGCGGACUCAUGUCCAGCCUGAUGAAAAGAGAUGCUGCAGGAGAGCCUUGCGUCCUAUUAGCUUGUUGGUGGGGUAACGGCCCACCAAGGCGAUGAUAGGUAGCCGGCCUGAGAGGGUGGACGGCCACAAGGGGACUGAGAUACGGACCUUACUCCUACGGGAGGCAGCAGUGGGGAAUAUUGGACAAUGGGGGCAACGCUGAUACAGCAAUUCUGUGGGCACGAUGAAGGUUUUCGGAUUGUAAAGUGCUUCCAGAAAGGAAGAAAAAAUGACGGUACCUGCAGAAGAAGCGACGGCUAAAUACGUG